CUAGCCCAUGCUGCUCGCACGGUCCAAAUGGGCCGGCCUUGUCCCACUCCGGCGUUCCCACUCUCCCUCGCCUCGCGGCCGUGGGGACGCGAGAUCAAGCAGCCGCUCCCGCCGCGGGGCGCAACCAGCGGCGGCGCCAGGAGAGCGGUGAGCCACCGCGAGGGCGUUACCGCGAACGGGAAACUCAACUUGAGUGUAAUCACUCGAUCCCCAAUGAUUAAUUCUCGCCGUGAACAGUUUCAGUGUGGACUAUGGAGUAGAAACUUACCGAGGAAAAAAGCAGGCAGCCGUCGUCUACGCAUGAAAGGAACCGGUGUCGAAGAUUCCAGCGUUUGCAAGGCACUUCUCCUCCUGGUAGUGGUAGGUGCGUGUAGAAGCACUUAAACUUAUCUCCAGAGGCGAAUUAUAGUCUAUAAACUAAAAGCAAUGAUUAACGUCGCCGUCAACGCUAUGUGUGCGUUGUUUGAUUGAGGAGCAGGUUCGAUUUCUCUCUGGCUCAAAAUUUGGAUACCUGCCUUGCUAUUAUAUCUGUAUCUGGUACUACUUGUUUGGCCAAAAAAAAAAAUUCCGCACUCUA